UAUAUUCAAGCGCCAGAACACUUUGAUCUUUGUGUUGACGAGGUCUAGAGUUAUCGAUUUUUCGGCGGAUGCUCUAGUGGAUUGCUUAAUCCAUAGUAUUAAACAAAAAUUAGCAGUAAUGCUAUAACAGACAU
rnacentral:ncRNA from 1 species